GAUGAACACUGGCGGCGUGCCUAAUACAUGCAAGUCGAGCGAACAGAUAAGGAGCUUGCUCCUUUGACGUUAGCGGCGGACGGGUGAGUAACACGUGGGUAACCUACCUAUAAGACUGGAAUAACUCCGGGAAACCGGGGCUAAUGCCGGAUAACAUUUAGAACCGCAUGGUUCUAAAGUGAAAGAUGGUUUUGCUAUCACUUAUAGAUGGACCCGCGCCGUAUUAGCUAGUUGGUAAGGUAACGGCUUACCAAGGCAACGAUACGUAGCCGACCUGAGAGGGUGAUCGGCCACACUGGAACUGAGACACGGUCCAGACUCCUACGGGAGGCAGCAGUAGGGAAUCUUCCGCAAUGGGCGAAAGCCUGACGGAGCAACGCCGCGUGAGUGAUGAAGGUCUUCGGAUCGUAAAACUCUGUUAUUAGGGAAGAACAAAUGUGUAAGUAACUGUGCACGUCUUGACGGUACCUAAUCAGAAAGCCACGGCUAACUACGUG
rnacentral:rRNA from 1 species